ACAGCCUACAAAUGUCCUUGAAGGCCAGCUUCUCUAUUUGAUCUUUGUUUAUUUCUCAACCAGAUGUGACCUCUUCUAGGAUAAGAUGUUCUGUUGUGCUACCAAGAUCCUUCUUCAAGACCGACUGAUUCCACCAGCUACUGGGAAUCCUGCAGGUCCUGUCCUUUUACUGGAGGCAGCCAUCAUCCAACAACUUUUCAGUGUGACAGUAUAAAGACUCAGCUCCCUUACCUUGAGAAAUCUCUGAAGGAUCUUCCCCACUACAGAGCUCCAUCUGUGUCCUGAGGAUUGUAGUGAAUGCAUCGCUGUCUCGUGUCUCCCUCUACCCAAUCCUACUGUCCUCAUUUCCUUAAAGAUCGCAACCCUCAGUGUCGCGCCCGUACUGGACCGGG